GGGUGUAUAGCUCCAACGGUAGAGCGUUCGAUUCCAAAUCGACAGGUUGGGGGUUCGAAUCCCUCUGCGCCCGCCA
rnacentral:tRNA from 1 species